rnacentral:pre_miRNA from 1 species
UGGACAGAUUAUUGUAUUCGACUGUAUUCACAGUGUGAAAUAGGGGAUUACACUGUUUUUUAAAAGGAAAGUGAAUCAAUUAAUAUAAUAGACUCCU